rnacentral:rRNA from 1 species
GACGAACCGUGCGAACGUUGUUCGGAAUCACUGGGCUUAAAGGGCGCGUAGGCGGGCGGCCGCGUCCGGGGUGAAAUCCCGCCGCUCAACGGCGGAACGGCCUCGGAUACGGGCGGCCUCGAGGGGGGUAGGGGCGUGCGGAACUCUGGGUGGAGCGGUGAAAUGCGUUGAUAUCCAGAGGAACUCCGGUGGCGAAGGCGGCACGCUGGACCCCUUCUGACGCUGAGGUGCGAAAGCCAGGGGAGCGAACGGG